UAUAUAAAUAUACACAUUUGAACUAAUUAAACUGAAAUUAAAAUCCAUAUUUUUCAAAUUUAAUUCAUAAAUAAUUUUCAUCUAAUUUUAGUAUUUUUGCUUAAGUAUUAACUAUAUUUUAGUUAAUAGUCGAUUUCGUUUUAAUAUAAAUUGACUACUCAUACGAAAUUCAUCUGUGUUAAAUUUGGUUGCCUAAUGCUAACAUUUAGCAUAAUACGUGUGAAUAAUUAAUAUUUUUUAUUUUCUGAUUUAGUGAAUAGAUGAUAUUUCCAAAGCAUUAAAUUUACAUAGCUGCCCCACCUUGCAUUGCUGUUGUUUUUAUCAUUUAAUAAUAGUUAGAUUUUUUUUAAACGAUCCAAAUUUGAUUUCCUUUUCAUUCUGGACCAAUAACCAACAAAUCAUUGAAUAGUGUAAAUAAUAAAAUAGUGAAAAGUUUUAUACUAUUAUUAUACUACAUCAACUAUCCAUAUUAUCCAUAUUCUUCUGCUAAUGAAAUAGUAAAGAAAAUUAUCGAACAAAGAGAUAAAGUGCGGUUAAUGAAAAACAAUAAUGCUUCCAAAACUGAUAUUGAAGAACAAGUAAAAGUUCUAUUAACAUUAAAAAAUGAUUAUAAAUCAAUGACUGGUAAAGAAUAUCAACCUCCAACUGUAAAUGGCAGAUCAUCAACAACAUCAG